rnacentral:rRNA from 1 species
GACGAACGCUGGCGGCGUGCCUAAUACAUGCAAGUCGAACGCACUCUCGUUUAGAUUGAAGGAGUUUGCUCCUGAUUGAUAAACAUUUGAGUGAGUGGCGGACGGGUGAGUAACACGUGGGUAACCUGCCCUAAAGUGGGGGAUAACAUUUGGAAACAGAUGCUAAUACCGCAUAAAACCUAACACCGCAUGGUGUAGGGUUGAAAGAUGGUUUCGGCUAUCACUUUAGGAUGGACCCGCGGUGCAUUAGUUAGUUGGUGAGGUAAAGGCUCACCAAGACCGUGAUGCAUAGCCGACCUGAGAGGGUAAUCGGCCACACUGGGACUGAGACACGGCCCAGACUCCUACGGGAGGCAGCAGUAGGGAAUCUUCCACAAUGGACGAAAGUCUGAUGGAGCAACGCCGCGUGAGUGAAGAAGGUUUUCGGAUCGUAAAACUCUGUUGUUGGAGAAGAAUGUAUCUGAUAGUAACUGAUCAGGUAGUGACGGUAUCCAACCAGAAAGCCACGGCUAACUACGU